AGUGAACGCUGGCGGUAUGCCUAACACAUGCAAGUCGAACGGCAGCACAGUAAGAGCUUGCCCUUACGGGUGGCGAGUGGCGGACGGGUGAGGAAUACAUCGGAAUCUACUUUUUCGUGGGGGAUAACGUAGGGAAACUUACGCUAAUACCGCAUACGACCUACGGGUGAAAGCAGGGGAUCUUCGGACCUUGCGCGACUGAAUGAGCCGAUGCCGGAUUAGCUAGUUGGCGGGGUAAAGGCCCACCAAGGCGACGAUCCGUAGCUGGUCUGAGAGGAUGAUCAGCCACACUGGAACUGAGACACGGUCCAGACUCCUACGGGAGGCAGCAGUGGGGAAUCUUGGACAAUGGGCGCAAGCCUGAUCCAGCCAUGCCGCGUGAGUGAUGAAGGCCUUCGGGUUGUAAAGCCCUUUUGUUGGUAAAGAAAAGCAGCAGGUUAAUACCCCGCUGUUCUGACGGUACCCAAAGAAUAAGCACCGGCUAACUUCGUG
rnacentral:rRNA from 1 species